ensembl:lncRNA
GGGGUCAGAGUGCCAUAUGGAUGAAGGGCAAAAAAGACAGAAUGUCUGAGCAAGCCGUGCGCUCUGCUCGCCCCGAGAUCACUCAGAAGCAGCACGAACUCUUGAGCAGGUUUUCUCAUGUUCUCACCCAGGCUGCUUUGGUGACAUCAGGGCCAGGGUAAGGCUGGGAUAGCUGAGAUCACACAGCCAAGAAGGAAGCAGCCGGUGAAAGAUCUGGAGCAGGAGUCUGAUGGGGAGCAGCUGAUGGAGCUGGGAUGGGUCAGUGUGGAAAAGAAGAGGCUCAGGAGAGACCUUAUUGCACUCCACAGCUCCUUGAAAGGAGGUUAUGGUGAGGUGGGGGUCGGCCUCUGAUCCCAGGUAACAGCGAUAGGACGAGUUGUGCCAGGGGAGGUUCAGGUUGGGCAUUAGGAGAAAUGUCUUCUCACAAAGAGCGAUGCUGCAGGGGCACAGCUGCCCACGGAGUGGUGGGGUCACCAUCCCUGGAGGUGUUUGGGAACCGUGGAGAUGUGGCACUGAGGGACAUGGGCUUAGCAAUAGGAAAAGCCUACUGACUUGUUUUCUGAGUGCACACUCGGGACAUCCCAUUUUACAUACGAAGCAAGUGCAGAGCAUGGUAUCUGAUAUCCCUCAUCUUCAGGAUCUUCAGGAAAGUCCACCAUUACCUGCAUCUGAAGCAGCACCUUCCUUGCAGCAGCAGAGUCAGGCAGAGAACCACUCCUUGCAGAAACUGUCCUGGAAACUCUUGUUCCACCCACCAGGGACUUCAGCCCUGCACACGGGCUAAGGAAGGGAGUCUGUACCACUGCCAGUGCCAGCACCGUCUGGGGGCUCCUGCAAAUGUCAUCCUCACUGCUGCUAACUGACUGUGAAAUUCAACCAAGCGAGCUGUUUUCCCCUGCAUGAACAACAACACGAGGAAGAAAUCAAGGUGAAAUGGGACACCUGGUCUACAGGGAGCAAGAGAAGAGAGGAGGAGGUUGUUGGAAGAUAAACUUCCUGGCUGGUGAAAAUCGAGACGGGGAUGAAGCACGGAGAGGGGGUGCCCACCACUGGUGCAGGAGGACCUGCUCAGCAUUCUGUCUUCACACUUCCAUCACUUGCAUCUCUCAUCAGUUAUCAUCAUGGAGCUGGUCGAUAUUGAAAUGAAACUGCCAGGGGAUCGAUAACAGAAUUGCUGAGGAGCCUUCUGGAAGGAUGACAUUCUUCUCAUUUUGUGGGCACGGAGGAUG